rnacentral:lncRNA from 1 species
GGCACAGCACGGGCCUUUAGCAGACUGAUGGCUGAGCACGUGAGAGAAAUGGCCUUUCUCUCUCCAUCAGUUCUCAGCAGCUGCAAGAGGGAUCUCAUUGGAUUUUUCACCUUUAUUAAGGUAAACACGGUUUUAUAAAGAAGAUUCCACCUUCUCUAACAAUAACUUUUAAUAAUGGAGAGAGCUAC